rnacentral:rRNA from 1 species
CAAGGAAUCUUCCGCAAUGGGCGAAAGCCUGACGGAGCAACGCCGCGUGGGGGAUGAAGCUUUUCGGAGUGUAAACCUCUUUUCUCGGGGACGAAGAUCUGACGGUACCCGAGGAAUAAGGACCGGCUAACUACGUGCCAGCAGCCGCGGUAAUACGUAGGGUCCGAGCGUUGUCCGGAGUUACUGGGCGUAAAGCGCGCGCAGGCGGCGUCGCAAGUCUGGCGUGAAAGCCCCCGGCUCAACCGGGGAGGGUCGUCGGAUACUGCGGUGCUUGAGGUAGGCAGGGGUCGGUGGAAUGCCCGGUGUAGUGGUGAAAUGCGUAGAGAUCGGGCGGAACACCCGUGGCGAAGGCGGCCGACUGGGCCUUACCUGACGCUGAGGCGCGAAGGCGUGGGGAGCG